CCCCUGGUCCGGGCCCCUCUGGUAUGGAGACGCCAGCGCUCCUGCGAUGUCGGACCGUCAAC
rfam:Rhizobium sp. MH17 scaffold2, whole genome shotgun sequence.